UCCCUGGUGGCCUAGCUACUUAAGGCGUCCGACUGUUACUAUUUCCAUAAGCAUAUCGGGAGAUCGACAGUUCGAUCCUGUCUCGGGGAG